rnacentral:lncRNA from 1 species
AUAGCAUUUCACUACCCCGACGUUAAGCUCCGUCAACACUUUUGGUCCCCCGCCAGUUUUCCAUCCAAAAACUAACGACUUUGGGGACUAAAAGUGCAAUUGAACUCAAAAAUUAAUUAAAAAAAUAGAAAAACAUUAAAAGCCCUGCAAACCCUUGAUCUUCAUCUUCUUCCUCAAUCAUCUUCAAAUUCAGAACUGAAAUUCACACAAAAAAGAGGUAAUAUGACAUUGCAAGAACCAUACCACUACCAGUAGGGAGAAAGUAAAGAAAAAGAAAAUAAAAAUAUCAGCACAUAACAUACCCAUUCCUACACAUUGGCCAUGUAGGGAGGCCAAUAAUAGUGUGGGCAUCUUCGAGCAGCUCAACAACUAUCGCCCAGUAAACAGAACUUGAAGAAACCUUCAUGUGAUUAGAGUUGAUUUGUGCAUAGGAGAGGGUUUUUCCUACCCAUAAAAUGAAGAAUAAACCCAGAAAAAUAACCUCAUCAACCCACAUCAAAAAACCAAUAUUUAUCAAAACCCAAACGAAAUUUAUCACAAAAGAUGAAGCAGAGACCCAAGUCGUUCCAGAUCCAGAUCCUUGUUCUAUACACCAAAUCGAAAUGACCCAAAACCUACAGUCACCACCGCGUCGUCACAGCUUCCACCCUCAUACAUAUAUCUAACGUACCUGUACCCCUGUUUUUUUUAAAAUCGCGUACCGCGUACCCAAU